GUGUAUUUGGAAAUAUCCCUAAUACAGGAUCACUUGGAUCCGUCGGCGAUGACGAGCGCGAAAGAAUGCGAAAAGUCCUCACGGAAUGCUCUAAUUAUGAGAUAAUCUCAUGGAUACUCCCUGGACUUAAGCAUAUCAUUAAGGGAAGGAAAAGAAACUAACUAGGAUUCCGUUAGUAGUGGCGAAUGAACACGGAAGAGCUCCAAUGGUAAAGCCUAAGUGCUGUUGUAAUGUAGCCUCCGAAAACAUUCUGGAAAGGAUGACCACAGUGGGUGAUAGUCCCAGAGGAGGAUGUAAAGAAUAGAGUAGUGCUGCUUGGUAGUGCAGUAUGAAGAGGAGGUAGAAACUUCUAAAGCUAAUACAGACGGAUACCGAU
rnacentral:ncRNA from 1 species